rnacentral:tRNA from 1 species
GUAACUAUAGUUUAACAAAAACAUUAGAUUGUGGUUCUAAAAAUAAGGGUUAAAUCCCCUUUAAUUACC